UGGCGGACGGGUGAGUAACGCGUGGGUAACCUGCCCUGUACAGGGGGAUAACAGUUAGAAAUGACUGCUAACACCGCAUAAGCGCACGGUAAGGCAUCUUAGUGUGUGAAAAUAUUCAUAGGUACAGGAUGGGCCCGCGUCUGAUUAGCCAGUUGGCAGGGUAACGGCCUACCAAAGCACGAUCAGUAGCCGGCUUGAGAGAGUGGACGGCCACAUUGGGACUGAGACACGGCCCAAACUCCUACGGGAGGCAGCAG
rnacentral:rRNA from 1 species